rnacentral:ncRNA from 23 species
GUGAAUAUGCAUACUACAGGUGCCCUUAAGGGGAGAAUAGGAAACCGGGUGUAACCCCCGGACGGACCCGCCACUGUGAAGGGGAGCUGUUGCCAUAACCACUCCAAAAGGGGGAAGGGGCAAGUUAGCGAUGAACCUGAGUCAGGAGACCUGCCUGUAAUGAUCUAUACCGG